UUUGUACUCCCUCUGUCCCAAAAUUCUUGUCUUAAAUUUGUCUAAAUACGGAUGUAUCUAGUUACAUUUUAGUGUUAGAUACAUCCGUAUCUAAACAAAUGUAAGACACGAAUUUUGGGACGGAGGGAAUACUAC
rnacentral:pre_miRNA from 1 species